GAUGAACGCUGGCGGCGUGCUUAACACAUGCAAGUCGAACGAAGCAGAUUGAGAUCUUCGGAAGGAUAUCUGACUGAGUGGCGGACGGGUGAGUAACGCGUGGGUAACCUGCCUCAUACAGGGGGAUAACAGUUAGAAAUGACUGCUAAUACCGCAUAAGCGCACAGUACCGCAUGGUACGGUGUGAAAAACUCCGGUGGUAUGAGAUGGACCCGCGUCUGAUUAGCUAGUUGGUGGGGUAACGGCCUACCAAGGCGACGAUCAGUAGCCGAUCUGAGAGGGUGACCGGCCACAUUGGGACUGAGACACGGCCCAAACUCCUACGGGAGGCAGCAGUGGGGAAUAUUGCACAAUGGGCGAAAGCCUGAUGCAGCGACGCCGCGUGAGUGAAGAAGUAUUUCGGUAUGUAAAGCUCUAUCAGCAGGGAAGAAAAUGACGGUACCUGACUAAGAAGCACCGGCUAAAUACGUGCCAGCAGCCGCGGUAACAC
rnacentral:rRNA from 1 species